UACGUAGGGCGCAAGCGUUGUCCGGAAUUAUUGGGCGUAAAGAGCUCGUAGGCGGCUUGUCACGUCGAUUGUGAAAGCCCGAGGCUUAACCUCGGGUCUGCAGUCGAUACGGGCAGGCUAGAGUUCGGUAGGGGAGACUGGAAUUCCUGGUGUAGCGGUGAAAUGCGCAGAUAUCAGGAGGAACACCGGUGGCGAAGGCGGAUCUCUGGGCCAUUACUGACGCUGAGGAGCGAAAGCGUGGGGAGCGAACAGG
rnacentral:rRNA from 1 species